GAGACAGGGUUUCUCUGUAUGGCCCUGGCUGUCUUGGAGCUCACUCUGUAGACCAGGCUGGCUCGAACUCAGAAAUCCGCCUGCCUCUGCCUCCCAAAGUGCUGGGAUUACAGGCAUGCACCACCACCGCCUGGCCAUGAACAGUCGUCUUAAAUGAACAACAGACUGUAUACUGAGCUGUGUACAAAUAAUAAAAGUUACCAUCAAAGAAAUCUUA